CCUACGGGGGGCAGCAGUAGGGAAUUUUCGGCAAUGGGGGGAACCCUGACCGAGCAACGCCGCGUGAACGAAGAAGUUAUUCGUAAUGUAAAGUUCUUUUAACAGGGAAGAAAGAGAAAUUUGACGGUACCUGAAGAAUAAGCCCCGGCUAACUACGUGCCAGCAGCCGCGGUAAUGCGUAGGGAGCGAGCGUUAUCCGGAAUUAUUGGGCGUAAAGGGUGCGUAGAUGGCAUAGUAAGUCUUUUGUAAAAAUGCUGGGCUCAACCCAGUAGGGCAAAAGAUACUGCAAAGCUAGAGUAUGACAGAGGCAGGUGGAACUACAUGUGUAGCGGUAAAAUGCGUAGAUAUAAGGAAGAACACCAGUGGCGAAGGCGGCUUGCUGGAUCGAUACUGACGUUGAGGCGCGAAAGCGUGGGGAGCAAACAGGAUUAGAUACCCUAGUAGUC
rnacentral:rRNA from 1 species